UUAAUCUGUUAGGCACAUGGAGAUCAUAAGAGGCCAAACUUCAGGCUAGAGAACACAAUUCCAUUAACCAAUGGCAGUAAUAACAUCUCCCUUUUAAUUGUCACCGUUGGUUUACGGGAUUCAGGAGCCUAUCUAGAGAGAAGGGUAACAGGGCUGCGGAGGGUAAAGAUUCAUGACAUAAAAAAAUCAACGGAUUUGACCAAUUAUCGGUGGGGUUAUCAGAUUGGACUAAUAGGAGAGAGAUAAGAAAUAUAUAAGGACCAAAGUUCAAG